rnacentral:rRNA from 1 species
UACGAAGGGGGCGAGCGUUGUUCGGAUUUACUGGGCGUAAAGGGCGCGCAGGCGGUCUUGAAAGUCAGGCGUGAAAGCCCCGGGCUUAACCUGGGAAUUGCGCUUGAUACUCUGAGACUGGAGUACGGGAGAGGAGAGUGGAAUUCCCAGUGUAGAGGUGAAAUUCGUAGAUAUUGGGAAGAACACCAGUGGCGAAGGCGGCUCUCUGGACCGUAACUGACGCUGAGGCGCGAAAGCGUGGGGGAGCGAACAGG